rnacentral:rRNA from 1 species
CGCGGCCUAUCAGCUUGUUGGUGAGGUAAUGGCUCACCAAGGCUUCGACGGGUAGCCGGCCUGAGAGGGCGACCGGCCACACUGGGACUGAGAUACGGCCCAGACUCCUACGGGAGGCAGCAGUGGGGAAUAUUGCACAAUGGGCGCAAGCCUGAUGCAGCAACGCCGCGUGCGGGAUGACGGCCUUCGGGUUGUAAACCGCUUUCAGUAGGGACGAAGCUAACGUGACGGUACCUACAGAAGAAGGACCGGCUAACUACGUGCCAGCAGCCGCGGUGAUACGUAGGGUCCGAGCGUUGUCCGGAAUUAUUGGGCGUAAAGGGCUUGUAGGCGGUCCGUCGCGUCAGGAGCGAAAACUCGGGGCUUAACCCCGAGCCUGCUUUUGAUACGGGCGGACUAGAGGGAUGCAGGGGAGAACGGAAUUCCUGGUGGAGCGGUGGAAUGCGCAGAUAUCAGGAGGAACACCGGUGGCGAAGGCGGUUCUCUGGGCAUCACCUGACGCUGAGAAGCGAAAGCGUGGGGAGCAAGCAGGCUUAGAUACCCUGGUAGUCCACGCCGUAAACGGUGGGCACUAGGUGUGGGGGACAUUCCACGUUCUCCGUGCCGAAGCUAACGCAUUAAGUGCCCCGCCUGGGGAGUACGG